rnacentral:rRNA from 1 species
AGUGAACGCUGGCGGUAGGCCUAACACAUGCAAGUCGAGCGGCAGCACAGUAAGAGCUUGCUCUUACGGGUGGCGAGUGGCGGACGGGUGAGGAAUACAUCGGAAUCUACUUUUUCGUAGGGGAUAACGUAGGGAAACUUACGCUAAUACCGCAUACGACCUACGGGUGAAAGCAGGGGAUCUUCGGACCUUGCGCGAUUGAAUGAGCCGAUGUCGGAUUAGCUAGUUGGCGGGGUAAAGGCCCACCAAGGCGACGAUCCGUAGCUGGUCUGAGAGGAUGAUCAGCCACACUGGAACUGAGACACGGUCCAGACUCCUACGGGAGGCAGCAGUGGGGAAUAUUGGACAAUGGGCGCAAGCCUGAUCCAGCCAUACCGCGUGGGUGAAGAAGGCCUUCGGGUCGUAAAGCCCUUUUGUUGGGAAAGAAAAGCAGCAGGUUAAUACCCCGCUGUUCUGACGGUACCCAAAGAAUAAGCACCGGCUAACGUCGUG